CCUGGGGGGGGACGGCGUUGCAAUGGUGAGCGGCACGAUUAGAAACGUCCGUAGGCGAUCAUCCGGUGAGGGAUAGGCAAAUCCGCCCUCACAAGCCGGGGGGUUGUCUCGACCGCGUUUAUGUUCGGGAAGUCAUCGGCGCGACGUCCAAGAAAAGCCUCUAAGGGUUGAAGCUCGAGUGACCGUACUAAAACUGACACAGGUAGGCGAGACGAGAAGUCUAAGGCGCUCGGGAGAACGCUGGUUAAGGAACUCUGCAAAUUGGCCCCGUAAGUUCGCGAUAAGGGGUGCCCUUGGGGGUGAAUAGCUCCUGGGGGUCACAGUAAAUCGGCUUCAGCGACUGUUUAUCAAAAACACAGGACUCUGCUAACUCGCAAGAGGAUGUAUAGAGUCUGACGCCUGCCCGGUGUCGGUAGGUUAAGGAAGGGGGUUAGCCGCAAGGCGAAGCUCGCGACCGAAGCCCCGAUAAACGGCGGCCGUAACUAUGACGGUCCUAAGGUAGCGAAGUUCCUUGUCGGGUAAGUUCCGACCUGCAUGAAUGGCGUAACGACUGAAGCACUGUCUCAACCAGCGACCCGGUGAAAUUGUAGUCGUGGUGAAGAUGCCACGUACCCGCAGUAAGACGGAAAGACCCCGUGAACCUUUACUGUAGGCUGAUAUUGGGCUGAGGUUUAUCUUGUGUAGGAUAGGUGGGAGGCUUUGAAGCGGGCACGCAAGUGCUCGUGGAGCCAACCUUGAAAUACCACCCUGGAUAUGCUUUAGUUCUAACCUCGAUUCCCGUGAAUCCGGGCGAGGAACAGUGUCAGUUGGGCAGUUUGACUGGGGCGGUCUCCUCCGAAAGAGUAACGGAGGAGUCCAAAGGUACCCUCAGCCUGGUUGGCAAUCAGGCAUUGAGCGCAAAGGUAGAAGGGUGCUUAACUGCGAGACUUAUCAGUCGAGCAGAUACGAAAGUAGGGCUUAGUGAUCCGGCGGUGCUGGAUGGAAAGGCCGUCGCUCAUCAGACAAAAGGUACUCCGGGGAUAACAGGCUUAUCGCUUCCGAGCGUCCAUAGCGGCGAAGCGGUUUGGCACCUCGAUGUCGGCUCAUCACAUCCUGGGGGUGAAGAAGCUCCCAAGGGUUUGGCUGUUCGCCAAUGAAAGUGGUACGUGAGCUGGGUUCAGACCGUCGUGAGACAGGUCGGUCCCUAUCUGCUGUGGGCGUACGAAACUUGCGGAGGUUCAUCUUUAGUACGAGAGGAUUUAGAAGGACGUUCCUCUGGUGUUCCAGUUGUCGCGCUAGCGGCACGGCUGGAUAGCUAAGAACGGAAAGGAUAAACGCUGAAAGCAUAUAAGCGUGAAGCCCGCUCCAAGAUUAGGUUUCGUAGAGCCAUUAA
rnacentral:rRNA from 1 species